rnacentral:rRNA from 1 species
GAUCAACGCUGGCGGCGUGCAUGAGACAUGCAAGUCGAACGGAUGACUCGGGCUUGCUCGAGUCGUUAGUGGCGGACGGCUGAGUAACGCGUGGGUGACCUGCCCCGAAGUGGGGAAUAACUGCCCGAAAGGGUGGCUAAUACCGCAUGUGGUGGUGCGUUCAAUUGCACCAGUAAAGCCGCAAGGCGCUUCGGGAGGGGCCUGCGUCCGAUUAGCUCGUUGGUGGGGAACGGCUCACCAAGGCGACGAUCGGUAGGUGGUCUGAGAGGACGAUCACCCAGACUGGGACUGAGACACGGCCCAGACUCCUACGGGAGGCAGCAGUCGGGAAUUUUGCUCAAUGGGGGAAACCCUGAAGCAGCAACGCCGCGUGAGGGAUGAAGGCCUU